GAUGGACGCUGGCGGCGUGCCUAAUACAUGCAAGUCGAGCGAACAGACGAGGAGCUUGCUCCUCUGACGUUAGCGGCGGACGGGUGAGUAACACGUGGAUAACCUACCUAUAAGACUGGGAUAACUUCGGGAAACCGGAGCUAAUACCGGAUAAUAUAUUGAACCGCAUGGUUCAAUAGUGAAAGACGGUUUUGCUGUCACUUAUAGAUGGAUCCGCGCCGCAUUAGCUAGUUGGUAAGGUAACGGCUUACCAAGGCAACGAUGCGUAGCCGACCUGAGAGGGUGAUCGGCCACACUGGAGCUGAGACACGGUCCAGACUCCUACGGGAGGCAGCAGUAGGGAAUCUUCCGCAAUGGGCGAAAGCCUGACGGAGCAACGCCGCGUGAGUGAUGAAGGUCUUCGGAUCGUAAAACUCUGUUAUUAGGGAAGAACAAAUGUGUAAGUAACUAUGCACGUCUUGACGGUACCUAAUCAGAAAGCCACGGCUAACUACGUG
rnacentral:rRNA from 1 species